UGCAGUCGAGCGGACUUGAUGAGAAGCUUGCUUCUCUGAUGCGUUAGCGGCGGACGGGUGAGUAACACGUAGGCAACCUGCCCUCAAGUUUGGGACAACUACCGGAAACGGUAGCUAAUACCGAAUAAUUGUUUUCUUCGCCUGAAGGAAACUGGAAAGACGGAGCAAUCUGUCACUUGGGGAUGGGCCUGCGGCGCAUUAGCUAGUUGGUGAGGUAACGGCUCACCAAGGCGACGAUGCGUAGCCGACCUGAGAGGGUGAUCGGCCACACUGGGACUGAGACACGGCCCAGACUCCUACGGGAGGCAGCAGUAGGGAAUCUUCCGCAAUGGGCGAAAGCCUGACGGAGCAAUGCCGCGUGAGUGAUGAAGGUUUUCGGAUCGUAAAGCUCUGUUGCCAGGGAAGAACGCUUGGGAGAGUAACUGCUCUCAAGGUGACGGUACCUGAGAAGAAAGCCCCGGCUAACUACGUGCCAGCAGCCGCGGUAAUACGUAGGGGGCAAGCGUUGUCCGGAAUUAUUGGGCGUAAAGCGCGCGCAGGCGGUCAUUUAAGUCUGGUGUUUAAUCCCGGGGCUCAACCCCGGAUCGCACUGGAAACUGGGUGACUUGAGUGCAGAAGAGGAGAGUGGAAUUCCACGUGUAGCGGUGAAAUGCGUAGAUAUGUGGAGGAACACCAGUGGCGAAGGCGACUCUCUGGGCUGUAACUGACGCUGAGGCGCGAAAGCGUGGGGAGCAAACAGGAUUAGAUACCCUGGUAGUCCACGCCGUAAACGAUGAGUGCUAGGUGUUAGGGGUUUCGAUACCCUUGGUGCCGAAGUUAACACAUUAAGCACUCCGCCUGGGGAGUACGGGUCGCAAGACUGAAACUCAAAAGGAAUUGACGGGGGACCCGCACAAGCAGUGAA
rnacentral:rRNA from 1 species